rnacentral:rRNA from 1 species
GAGAGUUUGAUCCUGGCUCAGGAUGAACGCUAGCUACAGGCUUAACACAUGCAAGUCGAGGGGCAGCAUGGUCUUAGCUUGCUAAGGCCGAUGGCGACCGGCGCACGGGUGAGUAACACGUAUCCAACCUGCCGUCUACUCUUGGACAGCCUUCUGAAAGGAAGAUUAAUACAAGAUGGCAUCAUGAGUCCGCAUGUUCACAUGAUUAAAGGUAUUCCGGUAGACGAUGGGGAUGCGUUCCAUUAGAUAGUAGGCGGGGUAACGGCCCACCUAGUCUUCGAUGGAUAGGGGUUCUGAGAGGAAGGUCCCCCACAUUGGAACUGAGACACGGUCCAAACUCCUACGGGAGGCAGCAGUGAGGAAUAUUGGUCAAUGGGCGAGAGCCUGAACCAGCCAAGUAGCGUGAAGGAUGACUGCCCUAUGGGUUGUAAACUUCUUUUAUAAAGGAAUAAAGUCGGGUAUGGAUACCCGUUUGCAUGUACUUUAUGAAUAAGGAUCGGCUAACUCCGUGCCAGCAGCCGCGGUAAUACGGAGGAUCCGAGCGUUAUCCGGAUUUAUUGGGUUUAAAGGGAGCGUAGAUGGAUGUUUAAGUCAGUUGUGAAAGUUUGCGGCUCAACCGUAAAAUUGCAGUUGAUACUGGAUAUCUUGAGUGCAGUUGAGGCAGGCGGAAUUCGUGGUGUAGCGGUGAAAUGCUUAGAUAUCACGAAGAACUCCGAUUGCGAAGGCAGCCUGCUAAGCUGCAACUGACAUUGAGGCUCGAAAGUGUGGGUAUCAAACAGGAUUAGAUACCCUGGUAGUCCACACGGUAAACGAUGAAUACUCGCUGUUUGCGAUAUACUGCAAGCGGCCAAGCGAAAGCGUUAAGUAUUCCACCUGGGGAGUACGCCGGCAACGGUGAAACUCAAAGGAAUUGACGGGGGCCCGCACAAGCGGAGGAACAUGUGGUUUAAUUCGAUGAUACGCGAGGAACCUUACCCGGGCUUAAAUUGCAGAUGAAUUACGGUGAAAGCCGUAAGCCGCAAGGCAUCUGUGAAGGUGCUGCAUGGUUGUCGUCAGCUCGUGCCGUGAGGUGUCGGCUUAAGUGCCAUAACGAGCGCAACCCUUGUUGUCAGUUACUAACAGGUUCUGCUGAGGACUCUGACAAGACUGCCAUCGUAAGAUGUGAGGAAGGUGGGGAUGACGUCAAAUCAGCACGGCCCUUACGUCCGGGGCUACACACGUGUUACAAUGGGGGGUACAGAGGGCCGCUACCACGCGAGUGGAUGCCAAUCCCAAAAACCUCUCUCAGUUCGGACUGGAGUCUGCAACCCGACUCCACGAAGCUGGAUUCGCUAGUAAUCGCGCAUCAGCCACGGCGCGGUGAAUACGUUCCCGGGCCUUGUACACACCGCCCGUCAAGCCAUGGGAGCCGGGGGUACCUGAAGUGCGUAACCGCGAGGAGCGCCCUAGGGUAAAACUGGUGACUGGGGCUAAGUCGUAACAAGGUAACCG